GCGAGGGAGGGGAACCGAGAGAGUGAGAGUGAGACAGGAAGACCCGAGAGCCCGAGGCCCGAGCCGGGAGCCGGGACGCUGGGGUCCAGGGUGUUCACGCCGGGGGGCUGAAGAGAUUCGUGUACCGCUUCCGUGUAUCAGCCAAACUUCAGCUGACCUUUGGACUCGUUAAACAAGUAGCUUGCAGCCUGGUGUGCAAGCCGCCGGGACUUUUCCACCCGCGGCGGGUCCGGCUUUAAGUCCGGAGAGGAGAAACUGUGCUUGAGGGCUCAGGUGAGGGCUGGAGGAAGCUGGGGUGCUCUUGGGAGAACGAGACGGAGGAGCAGGACCCUCACACGCGUCCCGACCAACCUGCAAGCGGUGGGCCCGGAGAGCGGGGCGAGCGGAGGAAGAAACUGACCGCAGGGGAGUGGACGCGGAGACCCGGGGAAAGAGGGGCGUGUUGGGCGGGGCUCCAGGACACAGCAGUUCCCAGGGCCAGAGACUGAUCUCCGUGGACGCGAGGUCAAGGCGGCGGUGGCUGGCGACUCCCACGCCUAGUUGGGAAGGGGCCGACCAAGCCAGCGAGGGACAGAAGUGAUUGCUCACGCCGGCCCGGUCCAGGAAGGAAGCCGGGAACCUGUCAGCGCUAUCGGAGUUUCACCGGCAUCUCCCCGAGGUGCUCGGACUCCAGGCUGCCCAGGACCUGCAGAAGAUCCAGGGCAGCAGGGGCUUUUUAGGACCCAAGGCUCACAGUCCCAUAGUUCCUGGGGCAGAGGACACCUCCUUCCCCUCUCUAAGCCUCAGGUUCAUCACCUAAGAAAUACUGAAACCUAAAGCCCAGAG